rnacentral:rRNA from 1 species
GGACGAACGCUGGCGGCGUGCCUAAUACAUGCAAGUCGAACGAGAGCGACCGGUGCUUGCACUGGUCAAUCUAGUGGCGAACGGGUGAGUAACACGUGGGUAACCUGCCCAUCAGAGGGGGAUAACAUCCGGAAACGGAUGCUAAAACCGCAUAGGUCUUCGAGCCGCAUGGCUUGAAGAGGAAAAGAGGCGCAAGCUUCUGCUGAUGGAUGGACCCGCGGUGCAUUAGCUAGUUGGUGAGGUAACGGCUCACCAAGGCCGUGAUGCAUAGCCGACCUGAGAGGGUGAUCGGCCACAUUGGGACUGAGACACGGCCCAAACUCCUACGGGAGGCAGCAGUAGGGAAUCUUCCGCAAUGGACGCAAGUCUGACGGAGCAACGCCGCGUGAGUGAAGAAGGUUUUCGGAUCGUAAAACUCUGUUGUUAGAGAAGAACAAGUGCUAGAGUAACUGUUAGCGCCUUGACGGUAUCUAACCAGAAAGCCACGGCUAACUACGUG